rnacentral:rRNA from 1 species
AGCGAACGCUGGCGGCAUGCCUAACACAUGCAAGUCGCACGGGGGGGCUUCGGCCUCCCAGUGGCGGACGGGUGAGGAACGCGUAGGGACCUGUCGAGGGGUGGGGGAUAACCGCGGGAAACUGCGGCUAAUACCGCAUGACGCCGCGGCGUGACAGCCGGGGCCAAAGGCGAAAGCCGCCCGCCGAGGGGCCUGCGUCCGAUUAGCUGGUUGGCGGGGUAGCGGCCCACCAAGGCGUCGAUCGGUAGCUGGUCUGAGAGGGUGAUCAGCCACACCGGGACUGAGACACGGCCCGGACUCCUACGGGAGGCAGCAGUGGGGAAUAUUGGACAAUGGGGGCAAGCCUGAUCCAGCAAUGCCGCGUGGGUGAAGAAGGUCGUCGGAUUGUAAAGCCCUUUCGGCGGGGACGAUGGUGACGGUACCCGCAGAAGAAGCCCCGGCUAACUUCGUG